rfam:Heterocephalus glaber contig44042, whole genome shotgun sequence.
GGGGGUGUAGCUCAGUGGUAUACAGUAUAUGCCUAGCAUGCCCAAGACCCUGGAUUCAACACCCAGCACCACUA